GUCCUCCACACAGAGAGACUAGGGCUUUAUCUGGGUCUGUCCUCCACACAGAGAGACUAGGGCUUUAUCUGGGUCUGUCCUCCACACAGAGAGACUAGGGCUGAAUAUGGGUCUGUCUGUCCACACAGCGAGACUAGGGCUUUAUCUGGGUCAGUCUGUCCACACAGAGAGCCUUGGGCUUUAUCUGGGUCAGUCUGUCCACACAGAGAGACUAGGGCUGUAUCUGGGUCAGUCUGUCCACACAGCGAGACUAGGGCUUUAUCUGGGUCAGUCUGUCCACACAGCGAGACUAGGGCUGAAUAUGUUUCUGGGUCUGUAUCUGGGUCAGUCUGUCCACACAGAGAGACUAGGGCUGAAUAUGUUUCUGGGUCUAUAUCUGGGUCAGUCCUCUACACAGAGAGACUAGGGCUUUAUCUGGGUCUGUAUCUGGGUCAGUCCUCCACACAGAGAGACUAGGGCUGAAUAUGGGUCUGUAUCUGGUCUGUCUGUCCACACAGAGAGACUAGGGCUGAAUAUGGGUCUGUAUCUGGGUCAGUCUGUCCACACAGAGAGACUAGGGCUGAAUAUGUUUCUGGGUCUGUAUCUGGGUCUGUCCUCUACACAGAGAGACUAGGGCUGAAUAUGGGUCUGUUUCUGGGUCUGUCCUCCACACAGAGAGACUAGGGCUGAAUAUGGGUCUGUUUCUGGGUCAGUCCUCCACACAGAGAGACUGGGGCUUUAUCUGGGUCUGUUUCUGGGUCAGUCCUCCACACAGAGAGACUGGGGCUGAAUCUCAAGCUGACCCUUGGCCGCUAAUCCCUUUGUGUUUGAUAGUGAUCACUCAACUGCCACUGUUCUGGGACAGGGAGAGACCAGCCUGCCCUCCUCUGCUGUGAGCCCCAUUCAGCCAGCCAGUCAGCCAGCCAGCCAGCCAUAUGCUUUUUUUUAAGGAGCUCCUCGUGUCUUUUUGAUGAAGAACCUGCAGUAUGGAACUGUCGAGGUGUCAGUCACAAUCAUUGUUCUGCU
ensembl:lncRNA